UGGUCCGGAAAUCCAAACAGAGCUUUGCUGUCAAGAGUCGAAGAUAUGAUUGAACGGGAAUGACUGAGAAGACGGCCUUUUUUUAAUAUUGUACGGACAGCGACUUCGAUUAUUUCAGUUUAGGUUUCAAUGAGCGACCACGGCGUCAGCCAAACAAACAAUUCAGAAACCGAAGAGGAGGAGUUGCGUAGGCUUCUGGUCCCCGAUAUACACGAUCUUCCUCUAACGCCUCCCUCUGCCGUUGAUUUCAACUUCGUCGCCUACUUUUCGCCAGACUUUAUAAAACCAGGACAUGAUCAAUACGUUUAUCGCCAUGCGAACGGUUUGUGCGUAAUCGGUUUGGCUCCUACCCAUGUGGCUUUUAAGGAUGAAGGUGGAAUCACCGCUGUUGAUUUCAACGUUGGGAAGUCUGAUCGUAGUAACUUUAAGGUCACCGGGAAGCGAAAGAAGAAUGCUCAACACUUUGAGUCGAACACUGCUUUAUGUAAAGUUUGUACCAGUAAUGAGUCUUACAUUGUGAGGUGUUGUGUUAAGGGCUCACUGUUGGAAGUGAAUGAUCGAUUGAUUAAACAGCCGGGAUUGCUCAAUACAUCGGCAGAUAGAGAAGGGUACAUUGCCAUAAUCAUGCCAAAACCAGCAGAUUGGCUGAAGAUCAAGAACUCAUUAUUAAGCAGUGAAGAAUACAAGAAAAUGAGAGAAGCUAGCUAAAUUACUGGAACAUCUGAAGAAAACCAGAUAUUCAUCCUCCCAAAGUAUAUGCAUUUCAGAUUCCCCAUCAUCAGUUAUUUCAUGAGCCUCCCCAGAGAGAGCUAGCAACUUAUAACAUGCUUGAUGGCUGGCAUUCAGCUGCCUUCGGGAAACAGGGAAAAGGGCUCAAGGAAGAAAAGUUAGGUGUUCGUUUAAGCUAAGAAAUCUUAAGCCCAGAAAGAAAAGAUACAUUUCAGGGCAAAACCCACUGAGACAAAACAACAAAAUUGAUCGGUUGUUACUCUAUGUCAAAUUUAGAACUGUCAUUUCUUUCGGUGAUAUGUGAUUGUUAAUAUACAAAUUAAUAUUUAUUAAUGUAAAUAUCAUUAAUCUAUAUAGUUAGUGGGAUCAGUUGACCCGUGGAUUCUCCAGAA